UGGGCUAUUCUUCCACAAAAAAGGGAUAUCGGUGUUGGUCGCCUACUGAAAGGAGAUUCUUUGUGAGUAUGGAUGUUACCUUUCACGAAAAAGAACCAUUCUAUUCCUUAAAAGGGAAUGACAAUGGUACAGGCAACAAGGGGGAGAAUAUCAUAGGAGAGAGCAAUGAUAGGGGAACUGUAAUAAUACCUAUUGGGGAUAUCAUACGCUCAGAAGAUGAAAUCGAGGGGGAGGAAACUACCAAUACAAAUGUAGAAGGUGAUAAUACAUUAAUAUCUGAAGCGUAUGAAAAUCUUUCAGGUCAAGAGGAGAUGGAAACAGAAGAUGGGGAAGGUGUACCUCAGGAAGUUGAUGAAGAAGUUGUGAAUCAAUCACAAGUACUAGAGGAGGCACCAACAAGUGAAGAAAUGGCCCAUGAUGAGGGUGAUGUUGAAGGUGUACUUCCUCUUUUAGGAGCUUUAUUGCAUCCUUGGAUUCCAUAUCAGUACCUAAAGAUUGGAAGGAUGCAGUGAAUGAUCCUAAAUGGAAAGCAGCAAUGUUGGAGGAAAUGUAUGCUCUAGAAAAGAAUAAUACAUGGCAAUUGGUAGAAUGGCCGAAGGGCAAGGAACCAGUCGGAUGCAAAUGGGUUUAUAGCAUUAAGUGUAACCCUGAAGGUAAAAUAGAAAGAUGGAUGUAAAAAAUGCAUUCUUACAUGGAGACCUUCAGGAGGAAAUUUAUAUGCAUAUACCACCAGGUUUCAACACGGUACAAACUGAAGGAAAGGUCUUGAAACUCCGCCGUUCACUGAGAUGAUGAUCAAGGUAUUGAAAGAGUGAAGCAACAUUUGAGGAACGAGUUCGAAGUCAAGGAUCUAGGAG